rnacentral:rRNA from 1 species
AACGAACGCUGGCGGCAUGCCUAACACAUGCAAGUCGAACGAAAACUUCGGGACUUGUGGCGCCUGGGUGCGUCACGGGUGGGAAGAUGAACAUAGGUUUGGCAUACCUCUCCGACUGGGGUGAUAACACCGGACAAUGUCUAAGGCCCAAUGAUUUAUUGCAUUGGGUUGGGCCCGCGUUGGAUUAGCUAGUUGGUAGGGUAAUAGCCUAACAAGGGGACGAUCCAUAGCUGGGCGGUGAGGAAGAUCAGCGACACUGGGACUGGGACACGGCCGAGAAUCCUACGGGAGGGAGGAGUGGGGAAUAGUGGAAAAUGGGGGGAGGGCUGAUCCAGCAAGGCCGGGUGAGUGAUGAAGGCCUUAGAGUAGUAAAGCGCUAUUACCCGGGAAGAUAAUGACGGUACCGGGAGAAUAAGCGCCGGCUAACUCCGUG